CAAACAUUUUUAUUCUGAUAAAGGUGUCACCGAUCACGAGCUUCCUGAAUUGACAGUUUGCUAUAGAGAGAACAACUUUAACAUGGUUAAAGACAUAUGUAUGGAUGAGGGUGUACCUGCAGUAGAUAAAGUUCUAAUCGAAAGCUGGAAAGAUGGUCAACCGAGCACGUCUGUUUCUGUUGAUGGGAUGAAAGAUGGUCAACCGAGCACGUCUGUUUCUGUUGAUGCUGAUGAAGAACAGCAGAGCAACACCAGGAAAAGUGUCGAUAUGGGGUCGACCAUUGCAUCUGUAUCUCAAGAUUCAUCUUUCAAAGAUGCCAAGAACAUUGCUGUGAC
rnacentral:lncRNA from 1 species